rnacentral:rRNA from 1 species
AUUGAACGCUAGCGGCAGGCUUAACACAUGCAAGUCGAGCGAGCGGCGGACGGGUGAGUAAUGUCUUGGAAACUGCCCGAUGGCGGGGGUUACCUACUGGAAACGGUAGCUAAUCCCGCAUCCCAUCAGCUGUCCCCUGAUGGGAUUAUCUAGUAGGGGGGGUAAUGGCUCACCUAGGCGACGAUCCCUCGCUGGUCUGAGAGGAUGACCAGCCACACUGGAACUGAGACACGGUCCAGACUCCGACGGGAGGAAGCAGUGGGGAAUAUUGGACAAUGGGCGCAAGCCGGAUGCAGCCAUGCCGCGUGUGUGAAGAAGGCCUUCGGGUUGUAAAGCACUUUCAGCGAAGAGGCGUUACUCGCAGAAGAAGCACCGGCUAACUCCGUGCCAGCAGCCGCGGUAAUUC